GCUCAUUUUCCUUCAGAAGAAAUUCCUGCGCCAAAACAAACACUUAAUAUACAAUGGUUUUCUCCACUAAACUGGAACCCUUCAGGUGUCAUUUAAUUUCUCCCAGUUAGUGUGAUCAAAUAUAAAGAACCCUUUAUAUCAGUAUAUGUAUAU